rnacentral:rRNA from 1 species
AUUGAACGCUGGCGGCAGGCUUAACACAUGCAAGUCGAGCGGGGAAAGGUAGCUUGCUACCUGACCUAGCGGCGGACGAGUGAGUAAUGCUUAGGAAUCUGCCUAUUAGUGGGGGACAACAUUCCGAAAGGAAUGCUAAUACCGCAUACGCCCUACGGGGGAAAGCAGGGGAUCUUCGGACCUUGCGCUAAUCGAUGAGCCUAAGUCAGAUUAGCUAGUUGGUGGGGUAAAGGCCUACCAAGGCGACGAUCUGUAGCGGGUCUGAGAGGAUGAUCCGCCACACUGGGACUGAGACACGGCCCAGACUCCUACGGGAGGCAGCAGUGGGGAAUAUUGGACAAUGGGCGAAAGCCUGAUCCAGCCAUGCCGCGUGUGUGAAGAAGGCCUUUUGGUUGUAAAGCACUUUAAGCGAGGAGGAGGCUACUUGGAUUAAUACUCUAGGAUAGUGGACGUUACUCGCAGAAUAAGCACCGGCUAACUCUGUGCCAGCCGCCGCGGUAACAC